GAUGAACGCUAGCGGCAGGCCUAAUACAUGCAAGUCAAGGGGAUAGCAAUAUCACCGGCGGACGGGUGCGUAACGCGUACACAACGUGCCCAAGGGCGGAGGAAAGCGGCGGGAAACUGCCGGUAAUACUCCAUGGUGUUGUUGAGUGGCAUCACUUAACAACUAAAGUACAAGCGCCCUUGGAUCGGUGUGCGUUCGAUUAGCUAGUUGGCGGGGUAACGGCCCACCAAGGCUUCGAUCGAUAGGGGGUGUGAGAGCAUGACCCCCCACACGGGUACUGAGACACGGACCCGACUCCUACGGGAGGCAGCAGUAAGGAAUAUUGGACAAUGGGCGGAAGCCUGAUCCAGCCAUGCCGCGUGAAGGACGAAGGCGCUCAGCGUUGUAAACUUCUUUUGGAUGGGAACAAUAACUCCGACUUGUCGGAACUUGAGGGUACCAUCAGAAUAAGCACCGGCUAACUCCGUG
rnacentral:rRNA from 1 species